rnacentral:rRNA from 1 species
AUUGAACGCUGGCGGCAGGCCUAACACAUGCAAGUCGAACGGUAACAGGAAACAGCUUGCUGUUUCGCUGACGAGUGGCGGACGGGUGAGUAAUGUCUGGGAAACUGCCUGAUGGAGGGGGAUAACUACUGGAAACGGUAGCUAAUACCGCAUAACGUCGCAAGACCAAAGAGGGGGACCCUCGGGCCUCUUGCCAUCGGAUGUGCCCAGAUGGGAUUAGCUUGUUGGUGGGGUAACGGCUCACCAAGGCGACGAUCCCUAGCUGGUCUGAGAGGAUGACCAGCGACACUGGAACUGAGACACGGUCCAGACUCCUACGGGAGGCAGCAGUGGGGAAUAUUGCACAAUGGGCGCAAGCCUGAUGCAGCCAUGCCGCGUGUAUGAAGAAGGCCUUCGGGUUGUAAAGUACUUUCAGCGGGGAGGAAGGGAGUAAAGUUAAUACCUUCGCGCAUUGACGUUACCCGCAGAAGAAGCACCGGCUAACUCCGUG